GAGUUGGGACCCCCAACCCCUAUACUACUAACUAGUCUGUUGGUCUCCCUGUGUCAUGGUGAGAAACGACCAAUGAUCGAUCAGCAUAGACUAUACGGAAAGACACUGGACCUCUUGUGUCUCCAUACAUGAAGUACCAAGCCUGGAGCAAUAUAUAUGUCCCAUCAGCCCCUUCGGUCGUCAUACAUCUUUGUAAUCGUGUGAUGAAGGUUAUGGAGAGACGAAAAUUCUUCAUUUAUAGACGGUGAUUAACAACAUAUGGAGAUGAUUAUGAUUGCCUUCCUCUUCUCCCUCCGUCUUUCUGAUAAACAUAUCUGCUGGUGUGUUAAUGUAUUACUCUUGCUAAUGAAAAUAGCAGAUAUUCUUAAGCAAAACAUUACUAUCUGCAGUAGGGGUUUCAUGAGUGAGUGCUGCUCAUCAAAACUGAAACAUUUUGGAUCUGAACAUGCAUGCUUUCUCUGAAUAUCAUUUSAUUGCUUACAUAAUACUCACAGUUUAGUGUUGUGUAUGGAAGCAUUACACWUGAAAAUAGCACUUGGAUGAAACCUGCCAUGCUUAAUUAUGUACAUGUUAAGACAACUUGAACAGGAGAGUUCUUAUUUUUUGA